rnacentral:tmRNA from 1 species
GUUCCGGUUUCGACGGGGCGAGUAGGGUAUGGAACGCAGUCGGGUUGUCGCGUUAAAGACUAACAAAAAAUAUCUGGCAACAGAACAUCAAUGUCUUUCGCAGCUUGCUAAUUAAGCCACAUAUUGUGUCCCUAUAAUUGGGAUGGAAAGCAUCAUCGCGAGAUGGGUCUCUCGGCUCAAAGAUGGUGUAACCUUAGAGAGAAUAAGAUUCUACGACUCGGAUAAAUAGGAUACGAAAAAAACAUACGAUAGUAAAAGUUAGAUUCGUUAAUUAGUCUUAGCUUUUAUGAAAAUCUAUUAGUUAACUAAACUGUAGUGGUCUAUAUGGGACUUGUUUCGGACCUGGGUUCAAUUCCCAGCUGGUCCACCA